GUCAUUGCAAACCUGUUUUCCUUCUAUUGCCCAUGUACUUCCAGGGCCAGGCCACAUAAAACACAUAGAUGUCACAAGAUGACCUCUGGAUAUGACACCUUGAUGUCACAAUGCCAAGACUUCUUCAUCCCCACCCCACUGCUUGCCUCUCCAUCCCACUUCAUGAAGUCCUACUCAAUCUUCCAGACUCAACUCAAAAGGCCACCACCUCUAGGGAGACAGCCUGGCACAGAGGUUGGGGACCAUCCGAAGUCUGGCUGUAGACCUCUGGUGGAGUGGAGUGAAAAGACCAGAGGUUUAGAGUCAGUGAAAUUUGGGUUCAAAUCCUGACUGCCACUUACUCACAGUGUGACCC